rfam:Branchiostoma floridae genomic scaffold BRAFLscaffold_14, whole genome shotgun sequence.
UAGCGAUGAGGACACCACUGGUGAAUAUUGUAUAUGUGAUUACAUCUAUACGCUAUACUGAGCCACAU